UGGGGAAUCUUGGACAAUGGGCGCAAGCCUGAUCCAGCCAUGCCGCGUGGGUGAAGAAGGCCCUAGGGUUGUAAAGCCCUUUCGGUGGUGAAGAUAAUGACGGUAGCCACUAAAGAAGCCCCGGCUAACUUCGUGCCAGCAGCCGCGGUAAUACGAAGGGGGCUAGCGUUGUUCGGAAUUACUGGGCGUAAAGCGCACGUAGGCGGAUAAGUAAGUCAGAGGUGAAAUCCCGGGGCUCAACCCCGGAAUGGCCUUUGAUACUGCUUGUCUUGAGACCAGGAGAGGAGAGUGGAAUUCCCAGUGUAGAGGUGAAAUUCGUAGAUAUUGGGAAGAACACCCGUGGCGAAGGCGGCUCUCUGGCCUGGUUCUGACGCUGAGGUGCGACAGCGUGGGGAGCAAACAGGAUUAGAUACCCCCGUAGUCC
rnacentral:rRNA from 1 species